UACAGAGGUCCCGAGCGUUGUUCGGAUUCAUUGGGCGUAAAGGGCGCGUAGGCGGUCAGCACAAGUCAGUUGUGAAAUCUCCGGGCUUAACUCGGAAAGGUCAACUGAUACUGUGCGACUAGAGUGCAGAAGGGGCAACUGGAAUUCUCGGUGUAGCGGAUGAAAUGCGUAGAUAUCGGGAGGAACACCAGUGGCGAAGGCGACUACCUGGCCUGUUCUUGACGCUGAGGCGCGAAAGCUAGGGGGAGCAAACGGG
rnacentral:rRNA from 1 species